rnacentral:rRNA from 1 species
CCUACGGGAAGCAGCAGUGGGGAAUUUUGGACAAUGGGGGCAACCCUGAUCCAGCCAUUCCGCGUGAGUGAAGAAGGCCUUCGGGUUGUAAAGCUCUUUCGCAAGGGAAGAAAACUUAUGAUCGAAUAAAUCAUGAGGUUGACGGUACCUUGAUAAGAAGCACCGGCUAACUACGUGCCAGCAGCCGCGGUAAUACGUAGGGUGCGAGCGUUAAUCGGAAUUACUGGGCGUAAAGCGUGCGCAGGCGGUUUUGUAAGUCGGAUGUGAAAUCCCCGGGCUCAACCUGGGAACUGCGUUCGAAACUGCAAGGCUAGAGUGUGUCAGAGGGGGGUAGAAUUCCACGUGUAGCAGUGAAAUGCGUAGAGAUGUGGAGGAAUACCAAUGGCGAAGGCAGCCCCCUGGGAUAACACUGACGCUCAUGCACGAAAGCGUGGGGAGCAAACAGGAUUAGAUACCCUGGUAGUCCACGCCCUAAACGAUGUCAACUAGUUGUUGGUAGAGUAAAAUCUAUGAGUAACGUAGCUAACGCGUGAAGUUGACCGCCUGGGGAGUACGGUCGCAAGAUUAAAACNCAAAUGAAUUGACGG